rnacentral:rRNA from 1 species
UGCCAGCCGCCGCGGUAAUACGGAGAGUGCGAGCGUUGUUCGGAAUCAUUGGGCGUAAAGGGCGUCUAGGUGGCCCGCUAAGUCAGGUGUGAAAGCCCUCGGCUCAACCGAGGAAGUGCACUUGAAACUGGUGAGCUUGAGUACUGGAGGGGGCAGCGGAAUUCUCGGUGUAGAGGUGAAAUUCGUAGAUAUCGGGAGGAACACCAGUGGCGAAGGCGGCUGCCUGGCCAGAUACUGACACUGAAGCGCGAAAGCGUGGGGAGCAAACAGGAUUAGAUA